GAGUCGCCAAGUCCCAGCCGGUUCAUAUUUCAAGCCGGGUUAUACUGCAAGCCAGGUUGUACCGCGGGGUAUAUCCCAGACAGGGACCAUACAAGGCACCGAGGAAAAUACAACCCCGGAGGACCCCGGCAACCUCGGAGUUCUCGAGAAGCAACCGGAGGAACCCGAACAAGCCCGAGGGCCAGUCCGAUCCCAACGAUUUCGACGAUUCAGGCGAUGACAACUACGUCCCUCCUAACGACGCGGAAGAUAGUCUAGAGGCCAAAGACUUCAAAGUUCCCGUGGACCUUAAGGGUUAGGAA
rnacentral:lncRNA from 1 species